AACGAACGCUGGCGGCAUGCCUAACACAUGCAAGUCGAACGAGACCUUCGGGUCUAGUGGCGCACGGGUGCGUAACGCGUGGGAAUCUGCCCUUAGGUUCGGAAUAACUCAGGGAAACUUGAGCUAAUACCGGAUAAUGACUUCGGUCCAAAGAUUUAUCGCCUGAGGAUGAGCCCGCGUCGGAUUAGCUAGUUGGUGAGGUAAAGGCUCACCAAGGCGACGAUCCGUAGCUGGUCUGAGAGGAUGAUCAGCCACACUGGGACUGAGACACGGCCCAGACUCCUACGGGAGGCAGCAGUGGGGAAUAUUGGACAAUGGGCGAAAGCCUGAUCCAGCAAUGCCGCGUGAGUGAUGAAGGCCCUAGGGUUGUAAAGCUCUUUUACCCGGGAUGAUAAUGACAGUACCGGGAGAAUAAGCCCCGGCUAACUCCGUGCCAGCAGCCGCGGUAAUACGGAGGGGGCUAGCGUUGUUCGGAAUUACUGGGCGUAAAGCGCACGUA
rnacentral:rRNA from 1 species